UACGAAGGGAGCUAGCGUUGUUCGGAAUCACUGGGCGUAAAGCGCACGUAGGCGGAUGUGUCAGUCAGGGGUGAAAUCCCGGAGCUCAACUUCGGAACUGCCUCUGAUACAGCACGUCUUGAGUCCGAUAGAGGUGGGUGGAAUUCCUAGUGUAGAGGUGAAAUUCGUAGAUAUUAGGAAGAACACCAGUGGCGAAGGCGAGUCUCUGGGAUGAUACUGACGCUGAUGCUCGAAAGCUAGGGGAGCAAACGGG
rnacentral:rRNA from 1 species